rnacentral:tRNA from 1 species
CCCCUGGUGGCUCAGUGGUAAAGAAUCUGCCUGCAAAGCAGGAGACCCAGGUUCGAUCCCCCAGAGAA